rnacentral:pre_miRNA from 1 species
UUUCAGUUCUUAGAUACAGUGUUUUGACUCUUUGUCUUAUUUGAAAUUUUUUUGCGAUUAAUAUUUUUAUUGUUACUAGAUGAUAAAAUAUAAAUAGUACUUUAUACGUGACUAAUUUUUUUAAGUUUUUUAUAAAUUUUUCAAAUAAGACAAAUGGUCAAAUCAUUAGGCACAGAAAUCGAAAAAUGAUAUUAUU